AGCCUUGUGGUGUAUAGCACAUAAGAUUGCAAAUCUUCGAGAGCAAGAUGACUUCUGCCGGGGCUU
rnacentral:tRNA from 1 species